rnacentral:tRNA from 2 species
UCCGAUAUAGUCUAGUGGUUAGGAUAUCUGCCUUUCACCCAGAAGGCCCGGGUUCGAUUCCCGGUAUCGGAG